UAGGAGAUUUCAAGAAUUUGAGACAUGUCGAAUUUGAUGUAGGUGGUGUUGUCGAUGGAUUGGCUAGAAAUCACCAAGUAUAGAGCUUUCUUUUUAGGAGGAAACCAGAUUUUAUGCCUUUUGUCAGGUUUCUAUUUAGGUUUCCUAUUUUAUAGGUUUCCAGUUCUAUACGUUUCCUAUUUUUGUUUACACGCUGGACAUUUAGGUAAUAUGGUUAUGAUGGCAAUAAACAAAAUGCCUCUGAUUGUAAGAUGGUUAUAUGGUAAGAUGAUUAUGUCUCCGA